rnacentral:rRNA from 1 species
GACGAACGCUGGCGGCGUGCUUAACACAUGCAAGUCGAACGGAAAGGCCCCGCUUUUGUGGGGUGCUCGAGUUGCGAACGGGUGAGUAACACGUGAGUAACCUGCCCUUGACUUUGGGAUUAGUUCAGGAAACUGGGGCUAAUAUCGGAUAGGAGCUCCUGCUGCAUGGUGGGGGUUGGAAAGUUGCGGCGGUUGGGGAUGGACUCGCGGCUUAUCAGCUCUUUGGGGGGGUAGUGGCUUACCAAGGCUUUGACGGGUAGCCGGCCUCAGAGGGUGACGGGCCACAUUGGGACUGAUAUACGGCCCAGCCUCCUACGGGAGGCAGCAAUGGGGAAUAGUGUACAGUGGGCGGAAGGCUGAAGCAGUAACGCCGCGUGCGUGAUGACGCCCUUCGGGUUGUAAACCGCUUUCGCCUGUGACGAAGCGUGAUUGACGGUAAUGGGUAAAGAAGCACCGGCUAACUACGUG